UUUCAUCGUGUUCCGUCUUGUGAGACCAUGUGUUUCUGUGUGCGUUAAACUCUGUUAAUGUGUCUCUGUGGUGAGCUGUGGACUGUGAGGAUCACAUAACUUCCAACAUGUGACGGAACUGUGGUAAUGGUGUGCAAAAUCAAACUGGAGCUGGCUGCAGGGAGGUGAAAACUAGUGGAGGCGAAGAUUCUUCAUCCGGUUACUGUAAACUAAUUUGGAUUGUUGUAAACAUCCGGCGGCAACUGUUUACAUGAAUGCGCACGGUCGUGCAUCAUCCUCAGGGUGUCGUGGAUGUUCCGACCGCGUCUUCGUGCUGAACCGCCUUGACUGAUCCUCUUCCUGGAACAAGUCAUUGUCUCUACAGUUUGAAGAUGGUUGGAACCAACAUGUGGUCAAGUGUAAGAGCUGACAGGCCCUGUUGUUGAGAUCAGAGCUCAAACUAGUCCCACAUGGCGCAGGACUGGAAAUUCAUCUCUUGUUCCAUCUGUCUGGAUAUACUGAAGGAUCCGGUGACUAUUCCCUGUGGAGACAGCUACUGUGGGAGCUGUAUUAAAAUCCAGUGGGACAUCGUGAAUGAAGGGAUAAUCCACAGCUUCCCUCAGUGUAGCCAUACCUUAAGACCGAGGCCUGUCCUGUCGAAAAACAUCAUGUCAGCUGAUUUAGUGGAGGAGCUGAAGAAGCCUCGACCUCCACCUACUCCUGCUGAGCCCUGCUAUGCUGAACCUGAAGAUGAUGCCUGCGAUGCUUGCACUGGGAGGAAACUGAAAGCUGACAAGUCCUGUUUCAAUUGUUUGGUUUCUUAUUGUGUAAAACACCUCCAGCAUCAUUAUGAAUCGACUGCCUUCGAGAAGCACAAGCUGGUGGACCCCGACGAGAAGGUCCAGGAGAGCAUCUGCCCUCGUCACGAUGAGGUGAUGAAGAUGCUCUGCCGCACUGAUCAGCAGUGCAUCUGUUAUCUCUGCUCUCUGGAUGAACGUAAAGGCCACGACAUAGUCUCAGCUGCAGCAGAAAGGACUGAGAGGCAGAGAGAGACCUCGAGCUGAGUUGACAACAGAUCCAGCAGAGGCUCCUGGACAGAGAGAUUGAUGCAAAGCUGUUUCAACUGGAGGAGGAGGAGGCUGUCAAUGGCUCUGCUGAUAAAUCAGUGGAGGACAGCGAGAAGAUCUUCACUGAGCUGAUCCGUCUCGUGGAAACUUUUGUUCUCCACACGAGUUUUAUACAAAUCUUAAUGUGACUCAAGGGUCAUAUGGGUUUUCUCUUGUUGAUGUUUUUAUGUGUAAAAUUGCUUGGACACUGAUCAAUAAAACUUAAUUCCGUCA